UACGAAGGGGGCUAGCGUUGCUCGGAAUUACUGGGCGUAAAUGGCGCGUAGGCGGACAGUUUAGUCAGAGGUGAAAGCCCAGGGCUCAACCCUGGAAUUGCCUUUGAUACUGGCUGUCUUGAGUACGGGAGAGGUGUGUGGAACUCCGAGUGUAGAGGUGAAAUUCGUAGAUAUUCGGAAGAACACCAGUGGCGAAGGCGACACACUGGCCCGUUACUGACGCUGAGGCGCGAAAGCGUGGGGAGCAAACAGG
rnacentral:rRNA from 1 species